rnacentral:rRNA from 1 species
UUCCGGUUGAUCCCGCCGGACCCGAUUGCUAUCGGAGUGGGACUAAGCCAUGCGAUUCGUGCGUCCCCGGCUGCGGGGGCGCGGCGCACGGCUCAGUAACACGUAGUCAACCUGCCCUGGAGACGCGGAUAAUCCCGGGAAACUGGGGCUAAUCCGCGAUAGGCUNAGGGUGCUGGAAGGCCCCUAGGCCCAAAGGGGCAGGCGGGCAUGCUCCGCCUGUCCGCUCCAGGAUGGGACUGCGGCCGAUCAGGUUUUUUGUUGGGUAAUGGCCCACCAAGCCUAUAACCGGUACGGGCUCUGAGAGGAGGAGCCCGGAGAUGGGCACUGAGACAAGGGCCCAGGCCCUACGGGGCGCAGCAGGCGCGAAACCUNCACAAUGCGCGAAAGCGCGAUGNUGUCACUCCGAGAUGCCGCCCGACAUGAGGGCGGCUUUUCCCGGGCCUAAAAA